AGAGUUUGAUCCUGGCUCAGGAUGAACGCUGGCGGCGUGCCUUAGGCAUGCAAGUCGAACGGUUGCCUUCGGGUAACAGUGGCAGACGGGUGAGUAACGGGUAGGAAUCUACCCCUUGGUGGGGAAUAACUUAUUGAAAGAUGGGCUAAUACCGCAUAAGUUCGUAAGAAGAAAGGGCGUAACUGCCCGCCGAGGGAUGUGCCUGCCUGCUAUCAGCUUGUUGGUGAGGUAAUGGCUCACCAAGGCUAUGACGGCUAGGGGGCGUGAGAGCGUGAUCCCCCACAAUGAAACUGCGACACGGUUCAUACAUCUACGGAUGGCAGCAACCAGGAAUAUUGCGCAAUGGACGAAAGUCUGACGCAGCGACGCCGCGUGCGGGAUGAAGGCCUUCGGGUCGUAAACCGCUGUGGAGAGGGAUGAAUUUUGACAGUACCUUUCUAGAAAGCACCUGCUAACUACGUGCCAGAAGCCUCGGUAAUACGUAGGGUGCUAGCGUUAUCCGGAAUCACUGGGCGUAAAGGGUUUUGUAGGCGGUAAGUUAAGUAGUGGGUUAAAGACUAAGGCUUAACCUUAGAUAUGCCCAUUAAACUAGCUAACUAGAGUUAGUUUGGGGAUGCUGGAAUUCUCGGUGUAGUAGUGAAAUGCGUUGAUAUCGAGAAGAACACCAAAGGCGGAGGCAGGCAUCUAAGACUAUACUGACGCUGAGAAACGAAAGCUAGGGGAGCGAAAGGGAUUAGAGACCCCUGUAGUCCUAGCCGUAAACGAUGAACACUAGCUGGUCGGGAUUUAUCCUGGCUGGCGCAAGCUAACGCGUUAAGUGUUCCGCCUGGGGAGUACGACCGCAAGGUUAAAACUCAAAGGAAUUGACGGGGCUGCGCACAACCAGCGUGCCAUGUGGUUUAAUUCGAUACAAAACGAUGAACCUUACCUAGACUUGACAUCCUGAUCAUAUUUUAUGGAAACAUAGAAGUCGGUUCGGCCGGAUCAGUGACAGCUGUUGCAUGGUUGUCGUCAGUUCGUGUCGUGAGGCGUCCUCUUAAGUGAGGUAACGAACGCAACCCCUGUUGCAUGUUAAAUAUCCAUGCAAGACUGCCCCUCUUAUUCGGGGGGAGGAAGGAGGGGACGACGUCAAAUCAGCAUGGCGCUUACGUCUAGGGCUACACACAUGGUGUAAUGGGUGGUACAACGGGUCGCGACGGGGUAACCCUGAGCUAAUCCUAAAAAGCCAUCCUCAGUUCGGAUUGCGGGCUGCAAUUCGCCCGCAUGAAGGGGAGUUGGUAGUAAUCGCGGGUCAGCUAUACCGCGGUGAAUACGUUCUCGCAGCUUGUACACACUGCCCGUCAAGUCAACAAAGUCAGCAGUGCCCGAAGUUGGUAUCCUUAACCCAAGUUUACUUGGGACAGGACCACCUAAGGUAAGGUUGGCGAUGGGGGCUAAGUCGUAACAA
rnacentral:rRNA from 1 species